GGCCGCGGUAAUACGAAGGGGGCUAGCGUUGUUCGGAUUUACUGGGCGUAAAGGGUACGCAGGCGGCUUGUCAAGUUGGGGGUGAAAUCCCGGGGCUCAACCCCGGAACUGCCUCCAAAACUGGCAAGCUAGAGAUCGAGAGAGGUGAGUGGAAUUCCUAGUGUAGAGGUGAAAUUCGUAGAUAUUAGGAGGAACACCGGUGGCGAAGGCGGCUCACUGGCUCGAUACUGACGCUCAUGUACGAAAGCGUGGGGAGCAAACA
rnacentral:rRNA from 1 species